rnacentral:rRNA from 1 species
AACCAGCCGGCACCAUCCGGUAAGGCUAAAUACUCCUGAGAGACCGAUAGUGAACCAGUACCGUGAGGGAAAGGUGAAAAGUACCCCGGAAGGGGAGUGAAAGAGAACUUGAAACCGUGUGCUUACAAGUAGUCAGAGCCCGUUAAUGGGUGAUGGCGUGCCUUUUGUAGAAUGAACCGGCGAGUUACGAUCUGAUGCAAGGUUAAGCAGAAAAUGUGGAGCCGUAGCGAAAGCGAGUCUGAAUAGGGCGAUUGAGUCGCGUGUCCUAGACCCGAAGCGGAGUGAUCUACCCAUGGCCAGGUUGAAGCGCGUGUAAGAGCGCGUGGAGGACCGAACCCACUUCAGUUGAAAAUGGAGGGGAUGAGCUGUGGGUAGGGGUGAAAGGCCAAUCAAGCUCGGAAAUAGCUCGUACUCCCCGAAAUGCAUUUAGGUGCAGCGUUCUGAUAGUUAUAUAGAGGUAGAGCUACUGAUUGGAUGCGGGGGCUUCACCGCCUACCAAUUCCUGACAAACUCCGAAUGCUAUAUAAUGUUUCAGGGCAGUGAGGGCAUGGGUGCUAAGGUCCAUGUCCGAGAGGGAAAGAACCCGGACCAUCAGCUAAGGUCCCCAAAUAUGUGCUAAGUUGACAAAACGCGGUGGGACUGCACAGACAGCCAGGAUGUUGGCUUGGAAGCAGCCAUU